UACGUAGGAUGCAAGCGUUGUCCGGAAUUAUUGGGCGUAAAGAGCGCGCAGGCGGUCUAUCAAGUCAGAUGUGAAAUAUCCAGGCUUAACCUGGAGGGGUCAUUUGAAACUGGUAGACUAGAGUACAGCAGAGGAUAGUGGAAUUCCCGGUGUAGUGGUGAAAUGCGUAGAUAUCGGGAGGAACACCAGUGGCGAAGGCGACUAUCUGGGCUGAAACUGACGGCUGAGGCGCGAAGGCUAGGGAGCAAACAGG
rnacentral:rRNA from 1 species